CGCGGCCUAUCAGCUUGUUGGUGGGGUAAUGGCCCACCAAGGCUUCGACGGGUAGCCGGCCUGAGAGGGUGACCGGCCACACUGGGACUGAGACACGGCCCAGACUCCUACGGGAGGCAGCAGUGGGGAAUAUUGGACAAUGGGCGAAAGCCUGAUCCAGCAACGCCGCGUGAGGGAUGACGGCCUUCGGGUUGUAAACCUCUUUCAGCGCAGACGAAGCGAAAGUGACGGUAUGCGCAGAAGAAGCACCGGCCAACUACGUGCCAGCAGCCGCGGUAAUACGUAGGGUGCGAGCGUUGUCCGGAAUCAUUGGGCGUAAAGGGCUCGUAGGCGGUUUGUCACGUCAGGAGUGAAAACUCGGGGCUCAACCCCGAGCCUGCUUCUGAUACGGGCAGACUAGAGGUAUGCAGGGGAGAACGGAAUUCCUGGUGUAGCGGUGAAAUGCGCAGAUAUCAGGAGGAACACCGGUGGCGAAGGCGGUUCUCUGGGCAUUACCUGACGCUGAGGAGCGAAAGUGUGGGGAGCGAACAGGAUUAGAUACCCUGGUAGUCCACACCGUAAACGUUGGGCGCUAGGUGUGGGACUCAUUCCACGAGUUCCGUGCCGCAGCUAACGCAUUAAGCGCCCCGCCUGGGGAGUACGG
rnacentral:rRNA from 1 species